rnacentral:rRNA from 1 species
CAGUCGCCGCGGGAAUACGUAGGUGGCAAGCGUUGUCCGGAAUUAUUGGGCGUAAAGGGCUCGCAGGCGGUUUCUUAAGUCUGAUGUGAAAGCCCCCGGCUCAACCGGGGAGGGUCAUUGGAAACUGGGAAACUUGAGUGCAGAAGAGGAGAGUGGAAUUCCACGUGUAGCGGUGAAAUGCGUAGAGAUGUGGAGGAACACCAGUAGCGAAGGCGACUCUCUGGUCUGUAACUGACGCUGAGGAGCGAAAGCGUGGAGAGCGAACAGGAUUAGAUACCCCCGUAGUCCCUGUCUCUUAUAC